GUCACACAACAACUCUAAAGCUCAAUUUGAGCAAUAAAUGGGGAAACGGGGUUGUAAUACUCAAAACGACCGGUCGGGUCGUUACAGUUCGCUUCACAUGCAGGCUACAAAAGUAGACUCUAACACAGUCUUGAGUCAGAUUAUAUCGGUGGUUGAGACAUCACAGACGUCAAAAGCUCCGAUUCAGAAGUUAGCUGACUAUGUGAGUAUUAUUUGGCAUGUCUUUUGUCUAAAUAGUGUCAUGACACUUGCAAAUUAACUGUUUCAGUGGUGUUGAACUUUAUUAUAUCUGCUUGCUCUAGGACAAAUUACUGACGACCUUGGAAAAUCAUAUAUGAAUAGAAUUCACGAAUUCUAAGAAUGCCCAGAUAGGAACUAUAAACCUCCUUUCUUUCCGUUACAUAUGAUCCAUUGUAUGCUGUCAGAUGUUCUCCCAGCAUUUCUAUCUAAAUGUUGUUGGAGACUGUUAUGAUUUAUCCUCAUGGAUCUGUAAAGUGGUGCUCUGCGAAGCAUGUUUCAAUGUCUCAGUUUAUUCUUUUGACCACAUCAAAUAUUAGAAUGCCGAAUUGAGUGUUCAACAGUUUGAGUAGCUGAAAAUCAUAUCAGUUUAGGUUCGACUAAUGAAUUCUUUAUUUUCAGUUUACUUAUUGUUUCUUGACCACUAAGAUAUGCUAUUGAAGUUGUAUAAACUCCAACCCUGUAACAAUUUCACUCUUUACGUAGUCCCUUUAUCAAAGGCUUUUUAAAUAAAAUUUCAUUUCAUUAGCAAGAAAUGACAAGGACAGUAAAGGAUAGAGUUUGGGCCAUGGCCAUUGAUGUACAAAAAUCUACCAAGUGUGAUCUGCGAUGUAAAUUUUUUUUCUUUUUUUAUUCCCUCCCUCCCUACCUUGCUCUUGGGUGACUCGAACUCGUUGGAAGUGAAGGGUGCUCACCAUUUGAAAUUAUACUACACAAGAACAACCAAUGAAAGUAUACUACACUUGAAAUCUAAUAUUAUAAUUGAAAGUAUACUACACAAGAACAACCAAACACAGGCGCAAAUCGUCUAUAGAAAGAUCUAUUGAAUCAUUAAUACUCUCUUGACCAUUUAUCUUAAGAACCAAGAAAAUUAAUUUUUAAGAAAAAUAUUUUUAAUGCACCCAAUACAAUAUAUUAAAUAGAUACUUCAUCUUCUGCUACUGUAGAUAGAAUGAAAUUUUUAAUCAUGCCAAAUCUUAACCUAUGAGAAGAUACCCAAAAAAAAUAGGAUUAACUCUACUUUUCACAUUAUCAUAGGUAAGGAGCAAAUCUUACUUCUGGCUUCAUUGACUUCACCAUUUCAUGCUACAAUACAAAGUAAAAGAUAUCAGCUAAAGAUGGUAGAUGCAUUAACUCAUUUCUCCACUGACCUACUUGAUCAAAAGCUCUAGAAGCAUAGACACCACUGCUAAUAAAUGUGGAGUUGCAAUAUUGCCACAAAAGGACUAUAUCCCAAAUAACACAUUAUUAGAAUGUGUACCUAAAUUACAGUUCCUCCGCAAAUUGAUCUUAGUAUACUCUAUGAAAAAUUAUCCACUAAAAUAAUAUGAAAUUUUAACCUAAUACGUUUGGGCUCGGGCUCAGCACGGGCAAUUCUCCACUAGUAAUAUAGAAAUGGGAGUUGAAAGUGUACGAACAGUCGAACAGGGGCAAUUUAGGAAUUUAGAUAUUUGUCAUAGACAUUUUCGUACUUUGAUUUUUCAAUUCUUCUGACACGUGUUUAAUGUCUACUCCCAUGACUCUGAUUUUUAAUUCUUUCUUCGGAUUCGGACUUAUCGGUCUUCUUCUUCAAACUUUUCUUUCUGCUUCUCUUUCUUCCUCUGUUCUUUUUGCUCCAAAUUUGCAUGCGCUUGCGGAAUCGCACCUCAGUAAUUUGGACCUCUUACCACGGCCAGUGUCAAUUGCGCCUACUGCUUCACAUUAGAAAAAAAUAAUAAUUACAUUUUCUGAGAGAAGUAAGGAUGAGGUUGCCAAUAAAUAUGGAGGAGGCAAAGCUGCUUACAGCUGUUGCUAGCAACUUCAACAGGAAAUUUGGAUGAUGUAAAUUUCCUUUGUACUCUAUUUACUCCUCUAUGAUUGAGGCUGUUGAGAGUGAGAACUGCCUCCACCAUAACAAUAACAUACAGGCACAAACUUAAGGAGCAAGUGCAAUAUUGUGUGGAUUAUCUAGAGGAAGUUAGUAAGCUUGCCUAGGUGAAGGUUGAGGUUUCAAAAGUUAAGGUGCCAUGAAUAGAAAACAUUGUACUAACCUCCCUUUUGGAUUAUACUCUUUGAAAAGACUUGAUUUCUUCAUUUUGAGACCGGAAAGACACCAAAAAACUGUAUUUGGCUGGUUAAUGUAAAAUUAUGGCCUUGCGCUGGUUCUUGAUCGAGGGGAGAAGAUUGAGCUUUGUCGAUGAAUCUGCCAUCUUUUUUAUGCUUCUGUAUUUUUAUCCUAAUUGGGAGAUAAUUCUUACAUCAAAAAGGUAGGUACCGUGCAUUCUGACCUACAAAAUCACAGCUGCCCCACUAUUAUAAGGUAUUUAGUUCUGUUUGUUUAAAUUGAAAAUUCAUCUAUUCGUUUGUAACAAUGAUUGUUGCUUUUUAUGUCUUUCUGCUUUUUAGCAGUCAAACAAGUUCUGCGGGGCAGGGCUUUGCAUUGCUUUAGCUACUUUGAGAUUCUUUGGUGUCUUCUGAUUGGGGGAUAUACUUAAUACUUUCGGAAAAUCAAAGUAUUCUUAUUUUUUAUGUAUGUAUGUAUGCUCUUUUUAGCUUUCUU